GGAUGAACGCUGGCGGCGUGCCUACUACCUGCAAGUCGAGCGAACAGAUGAGGAGCUUGCUCCUCUGACGUUAGCGGCGGACGGGUGAGUAACACGUGGAUAACCUACCUAUAAGACUGGGAUAACUUCGGGAAACCGGAGCUAAUACCGGAUAAUAUAUUGAACCGCAUGGUUCAAUAGUGAAAGACGGUUUUGCUGUCACUUAUAGAUGGAUCCGCGCCGCAUUAGCUAGUUGGUAAGGUAACGGCUUACCAAGGCAACGAUGCGUAGCCGACCUGAGAGGGUGAUCGGCCACACUGGAACUGAGACACGGUCCAGACUCCUACGGGAGGCAGCAGUAGGGAAUCUUCCGCAAUGGGCGAAAGCCUGACGGAGCAACGCCGCGUGAGUGAUGAAGGUCUUCGGAUCGUAAAACUCUGUUAUUAGGGAAGAACAAAUGUGUAAGUAACUAUGCACGUCUUGACGGUACCUAAUCAGAAAGCCACGGCUAACUACGUG
rnacentral:rRNA from 1 species